UACAGAGGUCUCAAGCGUUGUUCGGAUUCAUUGGGCGUAAAGGGUGCGUAGGUGGCGCCGUAAGUCAGGUGUGAAAUUUCGGAGCUUAACUCCGAAACUGCAUUUGAUACUGAGGAUCUUGAGUUCGGGAGAGGUGAGUGGAACUGCGAGUGUAGAGGUGAAAUUCGUAGAUAUUCGCAAGAACACCAGUGGCGAAGGCGGCUCACUGGCCCGAUACUGACGCUGAGGCACGAAAGCGUGGGGAGCAAACAGG
rnacentral:rRNA from 1 species